rnacentral:rRNA from 1 species
CCUACGGGUGGCAGCAGUGGGGAAUAUUGGGCAAUGGGCGCAAGCCUGACCCAGCAACGCCGCGUGAAGGAAGAAGGCUCUCGGGUUGUAAACUUCUUUUCUCAGGGACGAAGCAAGUGACGGUACCUGAGGAAUAAGCCACGGCUAACUACGUGCCAGCAGCCGCGGUAAUACGUAGGUGGCAAGCGUUAUCCGGAUUUACGGGGUGUAAAGGGCGGGUAGGCGGGGACGUAAGUCAGAUGUGAAAACCACGGGCUCAACCUGUGGUCUGCAUUUGAAACUGUGUUUCUUGAGUACUGGAGAGGCAGACGGAAUUCGUAGUGUAGCGGUGAAAUGCGUAGAUAUUAGGAGGAACACCAGUGGCGAAGGCGGUCUGCUGGACAGCAACUGACGCUGAGGCGCGAAAGCGUGGGGAGCAAACAGGAUUAGAUACCCCAGUAGUC